AUAUCUCUCUGUACGGGAAGGAUGAGAAGCUUCGACUAAGGUUCGAUUCGAGCGCAGCGAGAAAGCGUUGCCGCAGGCAACGACCCGAAGGGCGAAGCGCGCAGCG
rnacentral:sRNA from 4 species